UACGUAGGGUCCGAGCGUUGUCCGGAAUUAUUGGGCGUAAAGGGCGCGUAGGCGGCUCUGCACGUCCGUUGUGAAAUCGCCCGGCUCAACUGGGCGGGGUCAGCGGAUACGGCAGAGCUUGAGCAAGCUAGGGGGCAAUGGAAUUCCCGGUGUAGUGGUGGAAUGCGUAGAUAUCGGGAGGAACACCAAUGGCGAAGGCCGCUCGCUGGGACGGUACUGACGCUGAGGCGCGAAAGCGUGGGGAGCAAACAGG
rnacentral:rRNA from 1 species